rnacentral:lncRNA from 1 species
AUACAUUGAAAGCUACUAUAAAAUACCCCAGUACCCCAUUACAGCACAAUCCAUCUAUUAAUGACGCAUAUGUUAUAAUAUCUGGAUUCUGCCCGCAGUUUUGCAUAUCUUCGAAAAGCUGUUGAGCAACCUCGACUCUUCCAGCCUUGCAUAGGCCAUCAAUAAGGAUGCUCCAUGUAACCACAUCGGGAGUCAAUCCUAUGUCAUUCAUAUCUUGGAAAAGUAGCACAGCCUCAUCAACUCUCUUAGCCUUGCAAUACCCAUUAAUGAAACUGUUAUAGGUUACAACAUUAGGUUUCAGACCUCUACCCAGCAUUGAAUUGAAAACUCUUAUUGCCUCUUCUAUUUGACCUCUUAGACAAUAUCCAUCUAUUAACGCAUUGUAUGUGACUGUGUUAGGCAUAAUAUUUGUUUCACUCAUAAGCUCUAAUAGUUCACUUCCUUCUUUAGCCAUACCAUCCUUGCAAAGAGUAUCUCAUUCUUGAAUCAAUCUGCAUUCCAAGACUUACAAAAUGAAGCAGAAGAAGAGUUUGGACUUUGGACAUGAUCAUCUCAUGGGUGCACUUACAAUUCCAUGCAACGAGUAGUUUGCUGGAAGGAAAAUUAGUUAAACAAGUACUAACAAUGAACAACCAACACAAUUUGCCUAUCAAGUUUUGUACAGUAAGGAAUACAAAAAAUUAUAUCUUCACUAUGUUUGGUUCCCGGAAACUAGAGUCCAGGGUAAAUUGGGAAUUAAGAGAAAUAUCAGCCGGAGAAGAUCAGACAAGGAAAGGAGAAGGGUGCUAGAACAAAGAUAGAGAUGUACCCAAGUGAAUAGUUGCAUUUGUAUAUGAAAACAGUAUUCAAUUUCAACAGAACAUCAUCUGAUAAUACACUACAAGAUGCCAGAUGCAAGAUCAAUUGUGAUUAUCCGCCGAAAUGACUUAACAAACGCAACAUCAUGCUAAGGAGUUUCAUGGAAAACGUCACCUUCAUUUCUCACUUCAGGAAGAAUUCACGAAAUAUGCCUAUACUUUCAUGAUUCGAUUCAUUCACCAAAAGAAAAUCCAUCACCAUAGACGCGGUUGUUGCAUCCCCAGAGAAACCUCUCUCAUCCAUAACCUCAAGAAAUUCCACUGCUUUACGAGUUACAAGUCCUACUAUCUGGAGCAAAACCCUUCUCCUCCAUCUCUGCAAAUAAACUCUCAGCAUCACUUAACAUCCCUUUAUUACAAAAUCCAUUGAUCAUUAUAUUAUACGUUCUUGUGUCAAGCUGCAAAUCCUUUGUUGAGAGACCGCGAAAUAGUUCCAUUGCCUCAUUUAACUUCCCCGCCUUGCACAUAUUGUCGAUGAUGAUGUUGUAGAUUACCAUAUUUGCCUUUAAUCCAGUGCUCUCCAUCUUAUGAAACAGUUUCAUUGCUUCUGAAAGACAUCCAUUACAGCACAAUCCAUCUAUCAAUGAAGCGUACGUUAUAAUAUCUGGAAUUUGCCCACAGUUUUGCAUAUCUUCGAAAAACUGUUGAGCAACCUCGACUCUUCCAGCCUUGCAUAGCCCAUCAAUAAGGAUGUUGCUUGUAACAACAUUGGGAAACAAUCCUAUGUCAUUCAUAUCUUGGAAAAGUAGCAUGGCCUCAUCAACUCUCCUAGCCUUGCAAUACCCAUUAAUGAAACUGUUAUAGGUUAUAACAUUAGGUUUCAGACCUCUACCCAGCAUUGAAUUGAAAACUCUUAUUGCCUCUUCUCUUAAACAAUAUCCAUCUAUUAACGCAUUGUAUGUGACUGUGUCAGGCAUAAUAUCUGUUUCACUCAUAAGCUCUAAUAGUUCACUUCCUUCUUUAGCCAUACCAUCCUUGCAAAGAGCAUCCACCAAUAUGUUAUAUGUUUGCACAUCCGGCGAGAAUCCUUGACUGAUGAUAUCACUGAAGAAUUGAGUUGCUUUUUCGUGCUGACCCGAAAUGCAUAAGCCAUAAAUUAAAGAAUUAUAUGUAGCAGCAGUAGCCUUUACACCUUUUUGACGCAUCAAAUCUAAUAUCUGAAAUGCUUCAUCAGCUCUCUUUUCUUUGCAAAGAGCAUCAAUCAGAAUAGUAUAAGUGAACACAUCUGGUUUGAUUCCCUUAUCCAGCAUAUCUUGAAACACAUAUUUGGCCCCUUUAUGAUGACCAAUCUUGCAUAGUCCAUCAAUUAAAGAGCUGUAAGUAACGACAUCUGGUAUGAUUCCUUGGCUCUUGGUCAUUUCUUGAUAAAGAUGGAGAGCAUCCUGUAAUCUAAUUUCCUUGCAAAGUGUGUCGAUAAUCGCGCUAUACCCUUGAACAUUAGGUUUAAGGUCUCGUUUUUGCAAUUCCCUCAACAACUUAAGGGCAGUAUCAGCAUUGGUAGUUUUGCAUAAACCAUUAAUGACAACAACAAAAGUGACUUGAUCGCAUAGACAUCCGUUGUCCAAAAUUGCAUGGAACAAAUUCAAAGCUUUGGUUGUUUUCCCCACCAUAAAAAGUCCCUUGAGAAGAGUGGUUAAAGUGACAGAAUUUGGCUCAAAACCAUGUCUGAGAAUAUACCCUAAAACACAAAAUCCGAGAUCUACGCGACCCAAUUGGCAGUAACAAUUGAUCAGGAUGCUAAAAGUAAAAAUAUCAGGCUGAAUCCCAGCUGAAUUCAUGGUUUUAAACAAAGAAAAUACUAAAGUCUUGUGAUGAUGGGAAUGGGAAUGGGAAUGGGAUUGGGAUUGGGGUGGGUUCAAUUUAGCAAUGGCGUUAAGAAGAUUAUUAAAAGGGAGAGGGGAUGUCAAAUGUCGUGUUUGAAGUAAGCAUUUAAAUAAAUCCAAAGCUUCAUCAAGCUUAAGGGUACCAGAUUUACAACGUUCUCCAACCAAUUUCUCAAUAGGAAUGUAAGAAGAAGAAGAUGAGUGGUUUGCAUUUGUUGUAGUAUUAAAACGAAAAUGCAAGAAAGAAGAAGCAGAGAUGAAUAUCAUAGGUGUAGUACUAGUGAUAAUAUCAAUUACCUUUGGCUUUGAUAAGUAGAAGAAUAAGACUCCAAUAGUUGCUUUUCUUCUCAGCAUCAUCGUCGCCAUUAAUAAAAUUGUUAAUGAAAGCACUGUCGUUGCUGCUCUUCUCUUGAACACUUUUACUUAGUCCAAGCACGUGACCUGCACAUUCAUGGGCCACGAGGGACUGGACUCAGCCCAGACAGCAUGUGACUGGAUAGUACUGGAGGUUGAUCUCCAAUAUAUAUAUAUACUAGUAAAACCCGUGGCGCUGCCACGACUACCAUUAAUAAUUUGAAGAUAGUUAUAUUAAAAAUAUUAUUCUAACUCAAUAUUGAGAUAUUAAAAAUGAAUAUAUUAAACUCUUAAAAAUAUUUAUUCUUCUAAAACAGAUAAUCAUGUACCUUACAUAAUAAUAUUUAUGAUUUUCUCAAAAUAAUAAAAAUAAAUUAUAUCAUUGUUGUUGAUCUUCCCAUUGUUGUUGUAAUUCUCUAUUUUGACGUUUGACUUCUCUUAUGUAGUAUCUGUAAUAAUAUAAUUUUGAGGGCCAAAACUACUUACUCCAUUUGUCGCCUUCGCAGUGAUGUUCAACUGUUGUGGAUGUUUGUUUUUCUCAAUGUAUACAUGCUUAAUUCUAUUGGUAUCACUUUUAUUCUUGCUUGUGCGUUACUUCUCAUUGCUCCCCAUUUGCUUUGGGUUUUUUUUCUUCUUCUGGACAUUUUUUCAUUCACCUUCCCACUUAUCUUUUUUCCUCCCUAUUAUUGUUGGUUGUUUUUCACAGCUAUUGUCAAUGUGACCAAAUAACUUGCAUUUGGUGCAAAUCAUAGGUUUACAUGGAUAAUCAAAGUGCACCCCCAUAUUUUUCCCCUUCUUGGUCUUCAUUUUGAUUGAACUAGGGAGGGGUUUUUUUUCUGCAUUGAUCUCCACGUACACAUACUCUUGCAAAUGAGAGCAUAUUUUUACUUUUAGUAACCUUACCAAUAAACUUUGGUUUCCCUAUUAUACUUGCCAAAGAGUUCAAUCCCUUAUUGUGCCACAUAUGCUUUGGAACAUUAAACACUCUUACCCAAAUAGGAACCUUGUUGAUUGAACCUCUGUUUUUCUUCAACAUCUCUGCUCCAAGGUCUCACAACAAACAACUUCCCUACAAUAAAAAUGGGUCAUUCCUCCAUACUUUAGUAUAAAUUAGGGUUCACAGAUGGUUUUUUUCUUUAUUAGGGUUCAGAGAUCAACCGAAAAUUUAACCAAACAACAUUAUAAAAUGGCCAACAUUAUAAAAAUACAACAUACUUUCACAAAUUUUUCAAUUUAUACAAUAUACUAAAAAUCACGUCAAAACAUCAAUGUACUUUGAAAAAAAAAUUCACGUUAUGCAAUCUGUCUAAAACUGGGUAACGGACUACUUACAUGGCUAAUAAUUAUCUAUGUGUACGUAUUUUUUUAUUUUAAAAAAAAUGUUGAGUUGUAAAACUAAAACCAUCAGACAUCAUCUACUUUAAAACGUGUCAUCAGAUCAUGUCAAGUUUAUAUAUAAACCGUCCAUUAAUCCCGACCAAAUUUCGUGCCAUCUUUCUUUUAUCUUCUUCUUAUCAUGUAGUUUGGAAUCUUCGUUUGCUUCAAUAAUCUUUUGUAUCAUUUUGUCAUCUCUCCAAUUGUAUUAUUAAGAUAUGAAAUUCUCAUCUUUAAGUGUCCAUUAAGUCUUCAAUUCUUCAUGCUCAUAGUACAAUUCUUGAUGACCGAGUUUUGGUUUUUUGUAGAUUCCACAACUGCAAGAACGAGAAGAAUUAACACUAAAAGAUGAAGACAUAGAAGCUAGGGUUUGAAAUUGAAUUGGGGAUUUGGAAGCUAGGGUUAAAGAUUUGGGGAUUUUUAUAUUUGUUGAAUCAAAUUGUUAAAAUAUGGAAGAAGGGGGUCAAUCACGUGAGAAACAUGUGCCUCACUUUUGAUGUGUUGGAAAUUUUGUUAAAGUUUUUUUAAAAAAAAAAAAUACACAUAGAUAAUUAUUAGCCAUGUAAGCAGUCUGUUAGUCAGUUUAAGACAGAUUGCAUAACGUGAAAUGUUUUCCAAAGUACAAUGAUGUUUUUGCGUGAUUUUUAGUACAUUGUAUAAAGUUUGUGAAAGUACGUUGUAUUUUUUGAUCAUUUAACCUUUACAAACUAGUGGGCAUUAUUCAAAGUCUGUACGAUUUUUUAGCUAGAUAGUUGGUUGCAUUAUUGGCUUGCCUAAGUACAUGGUUACAGACAAUAUUACUGCCUUGCAACAGAGAUUUAUAGUCAACUACUAUGUUCCGGUAGCUCCACCCAUAUGUACACCUAUCAUAUAAGCUUUGUACAACAAAAGUAGAGUCUGUUUCAAUGAUCACUGUAGACCACUGCAAAUGCUUUAGUAAUAGCAGUCCUUCAUUUUUAAUGCCCACCAUUCAACUAAAUCAUUUAGAGCAACAUCCAUUGAAUUUGGAGAACCCUUCAAAGAAUUUCCCAAACUCAUUUCUAAUAACAAUACCAAUACAUGAAUAUUCACCAUUGCAAGAGCCAUCGAUGUUCAUUUUACGCCAGGUUGGUGGAGGGGGAGGAUAUCCUAGCUAGAUGUAUGACUGGUUGUAUAGCUUGACAAUGUAUGAAGAGGUGGUCAAUAUCUUCUUGAUGGGUAGAGCACAGUGCACGUAUAUAAAAUGUUCAUUUUGGUCAUUGUACUUUACACAUCUUUGCAGUUUGGUCAUAAAAGUUAUUUUUUAUCAGUUUGAUCGUAAAACUUACAUUCCGUUAUCAGUUCAGUCACAAGUUAAGUCAUCGUUAAGAGCAACUCUUUUGACCAAACUGACUGAACUAAUAACGGAAUGUAACUUUUAUGACCAAACUGACAAGAAAAAAAUGUUGUGACCAAACUGCAAAAACGUGCAAAGUACAAUAACCAAAAUGAACAUUUUCUGCACGUAUAGGAUCAAUAUCUGACAAUUUAACUGAUUAAAACAUCCUAGUAGGAGGCUUGUUAUGCAAUACCAGCAACAAAAAGAUUUUAGUUUUAGUGGGGCACUUAAAUUUCCACAGCUUUUUCCAUUGGGAUAUUGGUGCGAUGUGUGAAACAAAUUUGGUAGCUAGAAAGUUAUAUAAGGACUUCACAUUUACCUCACCUAUGUUGUCCAGUGCUCACUGUAAAGUGUUUGGUUGGCAUGUGUGUGUUGGGAUGGUAAUAAUGGACUAAAGAGAAGGGGAAAGUGGAAUAUAGCCUCCUCUGGUUCCAGUGACCAUUUGUUAUUUUUUUUUCUUGUGUUAUUAGAUAAUUGACACUUACUUACUAUAGAUACAUUUUAGACAAUGCAUUCUAUGGUAUUAUAUUUGUUCAAUUGUUUUUUAUUGAAAACUAGGGAUUUUACUUUAUCAUCAAAAUUUUAGAUCCCAAAAAUUGAAUUCGUGUUGUAAUAACUUUUUACAUAUAGCAGGUUCCAAGUGUUUAAAAGGAUGACGAGAAUACAUUGCUCACCAAGAAAUGUAAAUUAUUUCUUUUUAUUAAUAAUCAAUUCUGCAUACAGAAAAAUUAGAAAAAUUAAUAUUUGAAGAAAUAUACUUGUUAUUUAUUUUUAUUUUUAUUUUUUGAUAAAAGCAGAAAUUUUAUUAAAAUCAUCAAUCCAAGAAUACACCCCUGAACAGUAUGCAAAAGUGCACUGUCAGGUUAACACAGCAAACCACUAAAGCAUACAUGUGCUAUGAAAAAAUAAAAGAGAAAAGAAAGACAUAGCAACAGGUUGUUAUUGUUAUAGUUAUAUUUUGGGUUAUGUUAAAACAAACAGUAAAUUAUUGUAGUUAUUGAUAUUUUCGUAUGUCAAGUCUAUUUUUAUUUUUUUCUUAAUUUUAAAUUAUGAAGGCCCCAUUUUGGAGCUUGCAUCUAGCCCCAAAAUUGCUUAAACUGCCACUAAAUAAGAGCGAGCUUAGUUGGUUAGUCAUCAACUCAGCACUGCUGCUGACUGUUGUGAUGUCUUAGGUUAAUAAGAGCUUGAUUAGAUUCAACCCAUCCAUAACAGCUUAGUGACUUUUUCAUCAACAUUUAUUUGCCUUUGUAAGGUUUGGUUCGAUCUAUUUCAAACCAUUGGACCUAAAUACAGUUGUACCGUAUAUUGUUCGAAUUUUUUGAUUCGUCCAUUUUCUUUUUUCAUGCGAAUCCAGUAUUGUAGUGUGUUGACAUAUAUCCGAUGAGUAUGUUGAUAGAGAAUGGAUUUCGUGAUAAGUUGGUCUAAAGCUGGACCAUAAUGUUGGACUGUUGGAGCAACUUUCUUUGCAAACAAAGGCAAUUAGGAAUGAAUUUCUUUAUAAGGAAGGAAGUUCCUAAAUAAAAGUUUUCUAUAAAAAGAGAAGUAGUAUGUAGAAAAAAAAAUGGAUAACAAUGUCAUGAUUGUUGUUCGAAUGAAUAUGCUUUCUGAAGGAUUGGUUUUGUGUUGUCCAGUUUUUGUUAUUUUCAGUUUUGAUAUCAUAUAGAAAAACAAUCAUAACUUUCUGCGCAAUGAUUGGAAUUGCAAUCUGUCUUUUGGGUUGGAAAGAGGACGCUCUCAACUUUCCAAUGGUAUAUGGCAAACCUUAUGGUUCACAUUAAUUUUUUUGAAAACUACCUCUAAAGUUCUUACAGGAAAAGUGCCUCUAGACAGCAGUUUUAAAAGAUUUAUUGCCUCUGGACAAUCAAGUGUCUAUGGACAUAUUUUGAGCCCAUGACGUGAUAAAGCCUAAUUUUUUCUUGUAACACUAUAUAAGAUCAUUAUAGUGUCACAUCAAGCAAAAGUCUAAGGGAGUUUUUAGAGAUCAAAACUUUGAGAUUUAAGGUUUAGAGGCUUGUGAAACUUGGGAGCAAUCUCUAUUAGGGGAUUUCUAGGUUUGUGUUCUUCUUGUAAAGGGUGUGAGAAUGAGUUGUAUGAGAUCUCAUCUUAUAAUCCUUUUGGUGGAAGAUAAUAAAGUUCUUUAUUUUAUUUGUGGUGGUUUAUUCUCUGUGAGGGUUCCAUCAUGUAUAUCUUGUGUAUUGGUUUCGUUUUUUUAUUAUCAGUAUUUGUUUCUUCUAAAUCUUGGGUUAUUCCGCACUUUGGGUUUAUUGAAUUAUCAUCAAUUUUCCAAAUAUUUUGCUAUUCAGAAAGGGUUUGCUUGUUUGUCCUCCACUUUUGUGUAAUUCUUUGAGCUUAUCCGUAAAACUUUCGAAUAUAAAAAAAAAUAAAAAAAUAAAAAAAAAAUUUGCUUUUUCAGACUUUUGGAAAUUACUUCCUAAUUUUCUUAUGUUCAUUGUCGAACAAACUUUUGAGUUCUUUACCAAAUCGGGCCUUCGAAAGUAAGAAGUUGGAAGUAAUAAGCAACAUCUGAAAACGAGUGCGAUUUUGUGGACAUACAGUUUUUUUCUGUCCACAAGACAGCAUUAUAUUAUUGGUCCACCUCAUAAAAACUUCCACAUCGGCUUUUCUAAUAUCAGGAAUUUAAAAAUAAAAAUAAAAACAAAAGAAAUUAAAAAAACGAAUAUUAAAAAAAAAAAAUUAAAAAACAGAAAUUGUUAAAACCCACGAACAAAAAAAAAAAAAAAAGGGUUUCUCUCUGAACCUCAUCUUCCUCUUCCCCAUUUACACAUUGAAUCUAGGGUUUUUAUUCUUUCUCAUCCUAUUUCUUUUGUGUUCAAAAACUUUGCGAACCAGAAACAAAAAGAACAAUAUAAUGGAGGUAAACUUAAACUCUUCUCUUUAAAUUCCCCUAAACUCCAUUGUUUUGUUCAAACAAUUUUCUUAGAAUUUGUUAUUAUUCAAAAUUAUAUAUAUGUUUUGCAUCGAUUUUUAUGUACUUUUAACAGAGUGUUUAACAAUCCAGAGUUGUGUUCAUAAAAAAGAUGCGGAAAUCAAGGGUUGCACUCUAUCAGAAGAUUCGCAAGAAAAAAAUCCAAUAGAUGUUGAUGCAUCUGAUAAUAAGAAUGUUAAGGAUACUACUUCUAAAAUUCAAGGUGAAUCAGCUGCUACGUUGGAUGAAAAUUUGAUCCCAAAGAUCGUCUUGAUAUUUGAAAACUUGAAAGAUGCGUAUAAUUACUACAAUGAAUAUGCAAGAACAGUUGGGUUUAGCAUAAAAAUAAAGAGAACAAAUAAACAUCGUCACGAUCCUGAGAAAAUAGUACUUCAAACGUUAUGUUGUUCAUGUGAAGGUACUUAUACAAAGAUCAACACUCCAAGAAAGAGAAGAGAAGAAAGACAAUUUGGAUGUCUGGCAAAAUUUGAGAUUAAGCUGAAUAAGGACGAGAAAUUUGAGUUGACAAAAUUCGUAGUUGAGCACACUCAUGAGCUUGCCCCUCCUACUUGUUCGUAUUUGUUGAGAUCUCAUAGAGGUGUGAAAAAAUCUCAAGCUGGAAUUAUGAAGAAAAUGCAUUCAUCCGGACUUCAACCGUCAGAUAUAUAUUACUACUUUUGUGCAGAAGCUGGUGGAGCUGAACACGUCAACUUCAGUCAAUCUGAUUGCAACAAUUUAUUACAAAGGGGGCGGAUUGAAAUUCUCAAGAAAGGUGAUGCACAAUGUCUCCUUGAAUAUUUUAAGCAAAAGAAACAAGAAAACAAGCAUUUCUAUUACAACAUUCUGACUAACGAAGAAAGUGAGAUACGCGGUAUCUUCUUUUGCGAUGCAUUGUCUAGGCGUGAUUAUGAGUUGUUUGGGGAUGUUAUUUGCUUUGACACCACUUUUCAUACCAACAACUAUAAUCUAGUUUGUGCUCCAAUAGUUGGUGUUAAUAAUCAUGGACAAACCACAAUUUUUGGAUGUGGUGUGUUGGAAGGGGAAACAAGUGAUGCAAUCGUUUGGAUGUUUGAGAAUGUUUUAGAAGUCAUGGGAGGAAAAAAACCGAGUACCAUUUUUACUGAUCAAUCCAUGGCAAUUUCGAAUGCAAUUGCUUUUAUAUUUCCCGAUGCCCAUCAUAGGUUAUGUAUUUGGCAUAUCUUUCAGAAUGGCGCAAAACACUUAGCUAUAGUUGUUGCAGAAUUCGAUAGUUUUUCGCAACGAUUCAAAGAAUGCAUAUAUGAGCCAGAGACAGUUGAAGAAUUUGAGGAGAUUUGGAAAGCAUUACUUGAUGAUUAUGGUUUGGAAGAUAACAAAUGGUUGCAUGGAUUGUACAAAUUGCGAGAAAAGUGGGCUCAAGUUUAUGCCCAUGCUUAUUUUUGUGCUGGUAUAACUACUACACAAAGAAGUGAAAGUAUUAACAAGUUUCUGAAAGCUUAUUUUCCAAGUAAUACACUUCUUCGAGCUUUUGUGGAUCAAUAUACCAAAGCCAUGACUUGUAGACGCCAAAAGGAAAAGGAAGCUGAAACUCAAAUGCGGCAAACGAAACCGAUUUUCUGUUCAGACUGGUCGGUUGAGCGUGAAGCGUCAAAAGUUUAUACAAGGAAGCUAUCUAAUCUUUUCCAAGAAGAGCUUAAACAGAUCAUUGAUCUUCGUAUAAUAUUAGAGAGUGGAGAAGGGACAGUUCAAAUUUAUAAUGUCGAACAAUUGGGUAAAAGAAGGAGAACUCGUAAAGUGACUUAUAAUCAUUUUGAUCAGUCAGCACAAUGCACUUGUCGAAAAUUUCAGUUUGAAGGGAUUUUGUGCUCUCAUGUUUUGAAGCUUUUUCGUGAUUUAGAUCUUGGAAAUCUACCUACUCAAUACUACUUGAAGAGAUGGACUAGGAGUAUCACAGAUGAAGUUGUUUAUGACUCAUAUGGAGAAGUGAUACCAAGUGACAUUGAUCCAAAAUGCACAAGUCGCUACAGUGAGCUCUCACAUAUUUUUCAGAGACUUGUGGUUAAAGGUUCAAAAUCUGACUCAUUAUUUUCGAUUAUCAAGUCAAAGGCGCUAGAGUUUGAGCUUGAGGUGGAUACAAUGGCAAAGAAUGACGAAGAACGUGAGAAGAAUUCAAAGAAAAGUAGUGCUGCCACUCAAAACCAUUCAAUACAAAAUCCUGAUGAGGAGGUAGAGUUGCGUGAUCCACCAAAAAAGAGAGCUCGAGGUGAAUCUAAAACUCGGAAGAAAAGUUGUUUAGAGAAAAAACCAUCCAAGAAGAAAAAAGAUUUGAAACAAACAGGUCAGUUUGCAUGUAUAAUGAUUUAAAUCCUUUGUAUUCUUCAUUUUUAUUGCUAACUUAAAUACUUCAAACAUUAAUCAUUUUGCAGAUUGCUCAAGAGAACAGUUUGGGGUAAGGUCUCAAGUACAGGAUGAUGCAUCAACCUUGAAUCAAUCCACUCAGGUCAUACUUUCAUUUUUUUUCAUCAACUAACUCAGGUUGUUCCUAAAUGUUUAUUGCAACUAUUUUUAUCAAAAUAUGUAAGUGUUUUUUUUCCUUCCAUUUUAAAGCAGGACAACAUUUUUUAUUCGGUUGGUGGAAUGAAAGAGCAAAAUCAGACCAUAACUGAUGACCAAAACAAUCAAGGAUCGGCACGUCGGUUAGACUUCUCAGAUUUAUAAGCUCUAAGCAAGGAGAACUUAGAGGUCAGACUUGCAGCAGCAGCAGACCAGAGGGUGAGGGCACCAACAAUGCUAUUCCCUUGGGCGAAAUGUUUCUAUUUUGUUUUAACUUGUAAUGUCUACCUCUCUUAUGGGUUAGAGCUCUAGUAUUUGAACCCGAUGAGGUUAUUUAACACCCGGUAAUCAGGAUUGUAUAUUUGUUUCUUGGUGAUUAAUAAAAUUCCUAUUCUAUCAAAAUAUAAAUACUAGCUACUUCCUUAAAUUUCUGUUAAAGCUUUCAAUAUUGAAAUUACCAAAACACGGAAAAGAUAAAAAUAAACCAUAUGAACUUAAUGUUUAAUAUUAAUCACUGGAAUUGUAUACUUGAACCAUAUAACUUUCUGAAGGAUCUUGGUGGGUUUGAACCACCAUCUCUUGAGAUGCACUUGCAUUCUCAAUUGCUCUACCUUUUGAGCUAAAGAUCCAAAUUAUCGUAGCUUUAACUUUCUUCAUCCUUAUUCACAUGCAGUGCACUAUAACUAUAAAACCACACACUAUACAAUGGUUUGCUGAAAUAUUAAAGCAUUCCUGCUAUAGCUAAAUUAACAAGCAUCUGUGUGGGUCGCUGGCAUGGCAAUCUAAAAUUAAUGGAAUAAUUCUUCUCAACAUUAACAUGAUCAGCCAGAAGAACAUUACUAACCAUUAAAAAUCAAACCUAAGCUACAAAUGAAAGGAAAACAAGAAUUUCAAGGAUGUCAAAAGGUGGAUGAUGCUUUCAAGCCACAUCUCACAAAAACAGAAAUAUAUACCUGCAAAUGCACUCCACUAGAUAAUGUCAGAUCUUCGAGUGAUACACUAGCUAGCUGUAUGGGGAGAGACUGUAGUCACCCUGGCUAAUGCACAUAUACUCCUCAGAUUGACAAAUAGCUUUGCAGAAACUCUCAGUAUGAUUGCUGCCAACAAAUGCAUUACGCACACUUUUCAGUAGCAAGUAUAUGACUGAGUACUGGAGAUGAAGCGAUUCAUAUAAAACAGGAGAAUCUUUGAUUGCCUAUAUUUAGUCCUUUUCCCAAUAGCUCACAAAAAACAAUUAAGAACUCAAUACAACCAUAACCGGUAUGUCGGGCGAAGCACAACCAAAGUUUUUUAUAUGGGCAGCACCAGUCCAAACCAUGAUUAUGUCCAGUGAAGACAGCCUGCAAAUGUUGAAACACAAUAAACUCACAUAGUUAAAUCCUACUAGUCAAAUUUAAUACUUGUUAAACUAGGUUGCUUGUGCACUUGAUAUAACUUCAUCCCCAAUUCCCCAAAUAUAUGUAACAACUUUCAGUACCAUUUGUAUUAGUAACUAAUAACUUUCAGUACCAUUUGUUGAUGAAGGGCAUUGGUAUUCAGGAAUUCCAGUGGCAGAGAACCAUUCAAUUGGCCACUCAAACGAUGCGUCGUCAUGGUUACCAAAUACAGUAGCCCAAGGUAUACCUCUAGUUCUAGUUGGGGAGAUUGCUUUUUCCCAAUACAAAAUUGCAUUUGUAGUUGGCAAAUUGUUAACUGUAAUUACAUCUCCAAGAUACACUACAAAGUCUGCAAUAUCAUUUAUAAAUCAUCCAUGGUAGAGAUUAGAGAAAUAUAUUAGUAAUUGUUACUGACCUGGUGUUUCUUUGUCGAGUAUAGUUGACAUGACUAUCAGAAUUAACAUCUUGUAUAGGACCCCAAUCAGUCCAUGCAUUUUCUCCAUAAUGAAGAUCAGCAAACACCGCGAUUUUAAAUGAACCAUUUGAUGACAAUUGAAGGUAUUUUUCUGGUGUCUUUUGCAAAAUAAAAGACUCUUCUUCAUCAUCAUCAUGAUGAUGACCUGCUUCUUGAUAACCAAUUGCUAUGGUGAUCAGUAGAGAAAAUAAUACUGUGAAUGAAAUGAAUUGAUGAACUGUCACCAUUGCCACAAAUUCUUGAUGUUAUCAUCAGCCCCAUAAGUCUUUUGUUCGUAAAUGGGGAAGAGGAAGAUGAGGUUCAGAGAGAAACCUUUUUUUUUUUUUUGUUCGUGGGUUUUAACAAUUUCUGUUUUUUAAUUUUUUUUUUUUAAUAUUCGUUUUCUUAAUUUUCUUUUGUUUUUAUUUUUUUAUUUUUUAUUUUUUAUUUUUUAUUUUUUUUUGAAACAAAAAAAUAAGAUUUUAUUGAUAAGCUCAACAAAUUACACAAACGUAGAGGACAAACGCGCUACAAACUGCGCGGCAAGUCCUUUCUGGAUAGCAAACCCGAUUCUCCUAAAUACAUAUUCGUUCGAACCCGCAGUCAUCACGUUGCUAUCCAUUACCUUCUGCACUCUCCUGAGGAGCUCAACUGCUUCUGAGCCUAGUAAUCCAAAUGUGUCAAAUGCAAAGGGGAUGAAGCUAUGUUGGUUAGCCCUACAAGCUCCGUCAUGUUUCUCCACUUUUGCUGUUGCUGCAUUGCUAGCUGCUAGCCCCACCUCAAAAAUCCCAGCCCCCAGCCCAACCAUCGGAGACGCCCCUGUAACAUCAACACACGCAUGUUUACCUUCAGACCAGUUAUAGACCAGAAUAUCAGCAGGACGUAAUGUCGAUCUUCCUUCCUUAGGAUCAGUAAGAAAGUUAACAGGAGCCUCCUUCUUAACCUGUACUCCAGCCCGCCAGAACACAUCACACAAGAUAUCUCUAACGUGGUCAUGCCUGUACUUGAAGCCGGGGUAAUGCUUACAAUGGGCCGCAUGGUCCCCAAAAGCAUCAAGUCUGCUCUUCUUGCACACUGGACAAAGUUCACCAUCUGAAUAAAGAGGGAUCAUCAAUCGAUAACGAAGAAUGGCACGAUAUUCUACCGGGGUCAUGCGUUGUCCAAGCCCUUCCAUCGGGAUGGCAAGGAGAAAAUCUUUGGCAUGUUCUGCUUGCACACAUCCAAUCACGGCUUUUUGUCUAGCUGACAACUCAAAUUCCCUCUCAAGACCAGAACUAAUCUUGCUGUAGUAUGCUUCCGCCAAGACAUGUUGGGGUCUGAAGGGGACGGCUUUUUUUUAUUUUUAAUUUUCUGAUAUUAGAAAAGCUGAUGUGAAAGUUUUUAUGAGGUGGACCAAUAAUAUAAUGCUGUCUUAUGACAGAAAAAAACUGUAUGUCCACAAAAUCGCACUCUCUGAAACAUUAUGCAAUAAUUCUUUUUCAUUCCAUUGUGGAACUAACUUACCUCUUUUCUACUGUCAGAAACACAGAAAAUGCAUUUCUGGGCUAUUGCUGAAUGGGCCCUUAAUUAUCAACCAACAAUUUACCCUGAAUACAUAUGUAGCCCAAGGUACCAUUUACUCAUUCCCGCCUUUCUUCUCAUCUCUGCAAUUCAAGAAAAACACUUUGAAAGUUAAACUCUCGUUUCUCUGAAGAUUCUUGAUUUUCCUGCAAGAUUGAAUCCAAGAAAAGAACGAACGAUUUCGCAACGAAAUAGGUAAAUUGUGGUUUCUAAUCUCUUUGAAUUCUAAUUUUUUGAAAAGCAAAGAUUUAGAGUAAAUUUGAUUGAAACUCACACAUUAUACACAAUUUUAAUGGAAUCAAGAAAUAAAUUGAUGAAGUUUGUUGCUUUAAUUUUAAGAUAAGAAGUGAUGAUUAUAGGUAAUUGUGAACAUUGGGUCAUCAUCCAAAUCUUGUUGUCACAUCAUAUGCUUUGAUGACUUUUCUUGGUAAACAUUUUGUUUUGAGUUGUAAUGGUUAUUGUUGGUUGUGCAAUGAUGAUCGAUAAUUGUGUAUGUGUUUCAAUAUGUGAUACGAUUCGAUGUUUGCGUUCUUGUAUACAUACAUAGUCCAACCAUUUUGCUUGCAAUUUUGUUGCACGUCUUCAACUACUGUUGAUGUAGUUACCUGAUUUUAGUUACUUGUUUGAUGUAAUGUUCUGAUUUAUCCAUUUAGGCAUGUUUAUAUGGUUGAGUAUAUAUGUAGUGGCCGGGGAGAUCGAGAGGGGAGAGAGCAUGUCAUGGUGGGCAUAUUGGGAUAUAUAUUAGAUGUUUUGAGUGACUAAAGGUAUAGCUAGUUGCGCAAGAUGAAUGUUAUAUUACAUUGUUGAUGUUUUUAAUCCAUGAGUCUGUGCUUUUGCUAUUGCAGUAUAACGUGUAUGAUCAGUGCCAUUGGCAUGGAUGUGAAUAGAAGUGCUUCAGCGGAUAAUUCUAAAAAGCAAAAAAUGAUUGGAGGAGAGAGUAAUGGUGAGAACGAUGAUAAAAUUAGCAAUUUAGAUAAAGACAUUCUUCUUGACAUUCUCUCCUUGCUUCCUACCAAGUGUGCUGUAAGUACAAGUGUACUGUCAAGAAGAUGGAAGUAUCUAUGGACUUCAAUCCACAAUCUUGAAUUUAUCAACAGUCUGUUACAUCCCUCCAAUAGAAAGAAUAAAACUCUUUUGGAAAGAAGGAGGAGAGCCUUCACUUGUUUUGUUGAUAAAGUGAUACGUUUCAAUGAUGUUGCUAGUCUACAGAAAUUUAGCCUCACAUGUAGUAAAUGUGAUAAAGAUCAUUUCAACGAGUGGAUCGCUACAGUAAUAAGGCGUAAAGUUCAAGACCUCAUUCUCUCUGUUACAAUGGAUGAACCUUAUGUGUUCCCCCGCGGCCUUUUUACUUAUAAACCUUUUCGUGAGUCUUUGAGGAUAUUGAAACUUGACAUGGAUGUUCAUGUUGAUGUUGCCGUAUUUCUCAGUGAUGAAAGAAUAAAUUUGAUCAAUGGUCUGGCAUCGAUUUUUUUUUCCCAACCUCAAGGUCCUACAUCUUAAGCAUAACAAAAUUUCUGGAUCCGAGUCAAUACAGGAACUUAAUUUAGUUCUCCCUCACCUACAAGAAUGCAUCCUACAUGAUUGUAAAUGGCUGAAGAUCAAGACCCUCACCAUUUCUGCUCCUAACCUAAAGAUGUUAACUAUAUGUGAAGGUUGGGUUGAUGGUUCACAGGAUUGCCUGAUAAAGAUAGAUGCAGAGAGUCUCGUAUCAUUAAAGUUCACGAGUUGUCUUUCAUAUAAGUAUUCUCUAGGAGAACUACCAUCUCUUGUUGAUGCAUAUAUUGAUAUUACUCCUGACAAGGAUAAUGUUGAUUAUGUUCGUACACUUCUUAGAGGGAUUGAAAAUGUGAAGGAUCUUCACUUAACUUUUGAUAGCAUUCAGGUAAGUUUCCCUUUCCUUUUCAGGUUCAUCUAUACUUUACUGUAAUUAUUUUGAGAAUGUAAAGAUGAAUACGUACACUUCAACUUACUGGUGAAUAGGUUUUUUCAGUUCUUGGUACUAAUGCAUUUCAAUUUGGUAUUUCUAGACUCUUGAAGUUGCUUCAGUUAUGCCUACCCUGACCCAUUUGAACCAUCUGAGAGUGGUUUGUGGAUCAAGGCGCUCUGCCAUAAAUGGUUUCAAUUUGCUAAGGUUACUCCUUCGAAUGCCCAACGUUGAGUGUCUUUUUUUCCUUGAUGUAAGUCCCCAAAUCUAAAUUGUUCCGUUCUAAUUUACAAUUUCUUGCUCGAUCUUCAUGCAAUUGCUUUUGUAAUUUCUAAUUUUAUUGUAUUUUCCCUUUAUAUAGGGAGUUGAUUUAUUAAGGUUUAGAGGAUAUAGUGAUUUAAAAGUUGAUCAUGACUAUCUGUCCCACCUUAAGCUAUCUGAGAUCCAGUCUUAUGCAUGGAAAUGGGAUGAGCUAUGGAUUGUUGGGCUACUGAUGAAAACUGCAAGAAACAUGGAGUAUUUUUCUAUCACAACGCGGGCAGAUUACAAUGCUGAACUUUUACAUUAUGAAGUGCAAGAGAAGCAUUUCAAACAUUUAAAAAAACAUGCUAGAGAGUUGAACUAUGUGAUUGAGUUUGACUGAAACAUUCGCGACAAUGUUAUGUUUUGAACUUGUAAGUAUCAACUUUGAAUUAUGCCUUUUUCCUAUAAUCCCUUUAUUAUUGCUUUUCAUGUCAUUUUCUUCUUGCUAUUAAUGGUCUGGUAAUUAAAGUUUAAUAAACUAGGAUUCCUCGUGGCAGUUACUCUGAACUCACUGCUGCAUGCAUACAAGCAAUUGUUUGUGCAGUCUUACCCCUUGGCUUCUUUUGCAAAGUCGAACCUUAGGGCACUUGGCAGAUUGAUGUCUAAUUGUCUAUUUAAACUGUUUCAAUAUUAAUUAGAUUUGUUAUGAAAUACAUUGCGUUGAUGGUUUGCCAUUAUAAUGACCUUGUCUUGUGGGUAUUAUAUUUGCUUUCAGGUUGUGUAUCUGGAUGGCAAGUAGAAUUUUUGUUGUUGUCAUUCACAUUGGAGGUGCUGAAGAGUUUUGGAAGCAAGUACAAAUCAGCUUCAAUAUAGAAUAACUGAUAUGUCGUAAAACAUUAAGCACGGCACUGUCAAUGUUAUGGGGCAUAUAUGGAUUUGUGAAGUAAAAUUUAACUUGUUGUCUACACAUUUCUGUUCCAUUUAGUGUUUUGCUCAUUUUCUGCCUGAAACUGGAUAUGCUGAUCAAAGAACAUAAUUCCCCGCAUUUGCUUACAAUAGCAUAAAUAAACUCUCUCCUGUUACUUGUUUGGCCUGUUUUACUAUGGGUCAUUUAGACUUUGGGCCCUGUUUUAAUUCAAUAUUAGACAUUGGAUCCCUUUUGUUACGAAAUUAGACAUUGCAUACAUAUUGUCAAACCGAAAGAAAAAACCAUAUAAUAUUUUUGAAAUGGCCAAAAUACCCAGUAUCGUGCUUGUCAUGUGCUUCUUUGGUUACAAGAUAAGAAUGGACAAGUGUCCCUCAAUUAGUAGUUUGUUAAUAUCUAACCAUUGAUUUGGUGACCCACACAGAUCUCGAUAAAUAUAGCAUGGGAAAUUUGUGACGCGUAUCAAUUUUGUUGUGGUAUAUUUUAACGGUGAAUAUCUAACCAUUCAUCUGAAAUUUGUGACGCGUAUCAAUUUGGUUGAUCUAACAAAGAAAAUCGUGUUUUUUGGUUGAUAUAUUUUGUGAGUUUGGAAGGUAAACAGCUGAACUGCUGAAGCUUGGUAACUGUAAACCCAAAUUUUUUAAUAUUCUUUUAAAAUUCAAGUUUGUGUUUGUUUUUGUGUUGGGUGAUGUUAAAAAAUCAAUUAUUUUGUUUGGUUGAUGUUAAAAAUUCAAAUUUUCUACAUUGUAAAUGGUUGAGCUGUAGGGUUUAUUGUUACAAGUAUUGCAAGUGUACAUUGAUACUCUGUUUUAAAUUUGAUGUCUUGAUAGUUCAUACUCUGUUUUCAAUUUGAUCCAGUACGAUGUUGAGGCAGACUUUGUGAUAUAUUAGAAUGGUAUAGUGAAGAUGAAAUAUUAUAGUGGGGUUCGUAGCCCGUUAGAUGUUGUGUGAUGGAUAUAUGACAUGUGCCAUUUUUUUGUUUGAAUUUUGAACAGAGUUUAAGUUUUAUAUGUUUUUUCAUGUAUGAGGGUAUUUUUGCCUUUAGAAAAUAUUUUCGGUUCAAUUCGGUUUUUUUGAAAGACUAGAUGCCAACGUGUCUGCAAUGUCUAAUUUCGCAACAAAAAAGAUCUAAUGUCUAAUAUUGAAUUAAAACAGGGGCCAAAGUCUAAAUGACCCUAUAAGUUUUCCCAAGUUUAUUUUUGCCAAUAUUAAGUUGUGAAAGCGGGAACCAAAUUCAAGCUUAAAUAGUUGGAAAAUGAUUAAUCGUUAAAAAGUGUAACUAUAUCUAGAAUGGAACCAAAUUUAAGGAUUUAUUGAAUCAUCUCUUUUCCCUUAUUAUAUUUGUUCACUUACCAAAUUAUUGUGUUCUGGUAAAAGAUUUUAAUUAUGUGUGGAACCUUGUUGUCAUGGAUGCAAGUUUUUCUGCAGAUUAUUCUAAAAUGCAAAAAGCUGUUUGAAGCAUAAUAGCAGUAAUGAUGAGAACAACAAUAGAAUUAGCAAUUUACACGUGAUAUUCUGCAUUUGUACAUUCUCUUCUUUUUGGUCUAUUUAUUUUCAAAUUUGCUCAUUUAACUUUAUUCCAUCUCUUUCCAACCGAGGGGCAACUGGACUGACACUGCUCUAGCUUGUCUUAACUCUGCCGAAAUCAAGUCUAGCUUGUAAGGAGCUAGUUGGCAGGAACUCUGCAUUUAGUCGCGGCUCUGUCUCAGAGACAUACACAAGUCCACUUGAUUCCAACUAUUUAGUAUCCCUAAACUUUCAAAACAACAGAUUUGAUGGAGCUAUUAUAGAAACAAGGUCAAAAUUGAAGAAAGAGAAGAACAAUGAGGUGAAGAUCAACGAAGAUGAUUGAGAUCGAGCAAUGAAAGUUAGAAAAUUGAUGAACAAUUAAGGACAAGAACAACAACAACGAAGGAAAAAGUGAAAAAAAAUAAACUCUUUGCUGUGAUUUCACAUAGGUAUUAUCGACAAAUCAAGGGUAAGUUGGUAAAAUUAUACAUCAAUUACACAAGACACCGCAAUUAUACGGCCAAUUCUAUAUUAUACGGCCAAAUGUUUAUUAUUCAGUCAACAUACGGUGACCAGGUCAGAGUUGAGUUGACUGUUAGUGUUAACGCAGCUGAGACUGAAUGGUGACGAACUGCAAAUAAAAAAAAAGUGGUGACGCUGAGCAAAUUUACCCUAAUAAAGUGGUGACGAAAGUCCAAUUUUCUCUAAUAAUUAACUCAAUGCAUAUGCUGACUACAAUCAGAGUGGUAGUAGGUGUCUACAUCUAGAAGUACUGGUGAGUUGUGAGAGCUGACUGGAUAUUGAUACUGGUGAGUUUAAUUCUAACAGCCAGGUAUACACUUUCAGAGGUUUCAAAUGCUCUUCCUUUCUUUCAAUAACACUACAGAUUUCUAAGGAUCGAACAAGGAUCAUUUUAAUUUGUUUCAAUGCAAGAAUUUGAGCUACAUAUGUGGUACAUUUCCAUACAAUCACAAUACAAGGAAAACAAAAACAGGGUUAAAAAGGUUCUAUUCAAUCUACAGUGUCUGUAAGACUAACUUUCCUAGUAUAUAACCUCUCAGAAACUAUGGGAAUUCAAGUUGCUUGGUUUACUCCGCAAGCAAAUUCUUUGAAGGUUGUGAAUGAGCCUGUGGCUCAAUGGUAGCACCCCUCUCACAAAGUGGAGAGAUUUUAGGUUCAAACAUGUCAACAGCUGAUUGUUGAUAAAAUUUCCACAAGUAAUUUAAAAAGGGUAGUGGUCCCCUCAACCACACUUGCCAAUCAAAAAAAAAAAAAAAAUUUAAAGGCUUUUACUUCAAUUGCCACAGAUGCUCUAAAGACCAAUCAGCAAUUUACAAAGGGGAGAACAAGAAAAUGAAGAAGCGAUGGGUGGUUCCAGUAUCUCAUUCAUGAAUCAAUCUACAUUCCAAGACUUACAAAAUAUAGCAGAAGAGAGUUUGGUUCCAGUAUCUCACUCUUGAAUCAAUCUACAUUCCAAGACUUACAAGCACAACAUCAUGCUAAGGAGUUUCAUGGAAAACGUCACCUUCAUUUCUCACUUCAGGAAGAAUUCACGAAAUAUGCCUAUACAUUCAUGAUUUGAUUCAUUCACCAAAAGAAAAUCCGUCACCAUGGAUGCGGUUGUUGCAUCCCCAGAGAAACCUCUCUCAUCCAUUACCUUAAAAAAUUCCACUGCUUUAUGAGUAUCAUUUUUCUUGAGAAAUCCUUGAAUUAUGAUAUUGAAAGUCCAAUUAUCUGGAGCAAAACCCUUCUCCUCCAUCUCUGCAAAUAAACUCUCAGCAUCACUUAACAUCCCUUUAUUACAAAAUCCAUUAAUCAUUAUAUUAUACGUUCUUGUGUCAAGCUGCAAAUCCUUUGUAGAGAGACCGCGAAAUAGUUCCAUUGCCUCAUUUAACUUCCCCGCCUUGCACAUAUUGUCGACGAUGAUGCUGUAGAUUACCACAUUUGCCUUUAAUCCAGUGCUCUCCAUCUUAUGAACCAGUUUCAUUGCUUCUGAAAGACAUCCAUUACAGCACAAUCCAUCUAUUAAUGAAGCAUAUGUUAUAAUAUCUGGAUUCUGCCCGCAGUUUUGCAUAUCUUCGAAAAGCUGUUGAGCAACCUCGACUCUUCCAGCCUUGCAUAGGCCAUCAAUAAGGAUGCUCCAUGUAACCACAUCGGGAGUCAAUCCUAUGUCAUUCAUAUCUUGGAAAAGUAGCACAGCCUCAUCAACUCUCUUAGCCUUGCAAUACCCAUCAAUGAAACUGCUAAAGGUUAUAACAUUAGGUUUUAGACCUCUACCCAGCAUUGAAUUGAAAACUCUUAUUGCCUCUUCUAUUUGACCUCUUAAACAAUAUCCAUCUAUUAAGGCAUUGUAUGUGACUGUAUUAGGCAUAAUAUCUGUUUCACUCAUAAGCUCUAAUAGUUCACUUCCUUCUUUAGCCAUACCAUCCUUGCAAAGAGCAUCCACCAAUAUGUUAUAUGUUUGCACAUUCGGCGAGAAUCCUUGAGUGAUGAUAUCACUGAAGAAUUGAGUUGCUUCUUCGCGCUGACCCGAAAUGCAUAAGCCAUAAAUUAAAGCAUUAUAUGUAGCAGCAGUAGCCUUUACACCCUUUUGACGCAUCAAAUCUAAUAUCUGAAAUGCUUCAUCAGCUCUCUUUUCUUUGCAAAGAGCAUCAAUCAGAAUAGUAUAAGUGAUCACAUUUGGUUUGAUUCCCUUAUCCAGCAUAUCUUGAAACACAUAUUUGGCCCCUUUAUGAUAACCAAUCUUGCAUAAUCCAUCAAUUAAAGAGCUGUAAGUAACAACACUUGGUAUAAUUCCUUGGGUUUUGGUCAUUUCUUGAUAAAGAUGGAGAGCAUCCUGUAAUCUAUUUUCUUUGCAAAGUGUGUCAAUAAUCGCAUUAUACCCUUGAAGAUUAGGUUUAAGGUUUCGUUUUUGCAAUUCCCUCAACAACUUAAGG